CACUUGACUGAGACAAAGAGGAAAAUAAAUUAGAGAUAAUAAAUGAUUGGUGGUGGGAGAAAAACAAUUCUCUUCUAAAAAAAAUGACGUAAUUGACGCGACUCUCAUAAAUAUAACUUUAUGAGACGUGAAUAAAUGAAUUACGAAAAGACGGUUAUUUCAACACUCACUUUGGAAAUGACUGAUACAUAGGGACAUUCCCUGGAAGAUACUGCCAUGCCAUGUUAGCCAUCUGGUUAUGGUUGAUCUGCUGCUGCUGCUGCUGCUGCUGCUGCUGAAUAAAAUGCUGAUGCUUCUGUUGAGACGCAACAGCUUCACUUUCCGACAUUGCCUGGCGUGAUGUAUCACCCCAAUAUCUCUAUCUCUUUCCCCUACCUUCUAAAAUGUCGUACCCUACCAAGUCGACAUACAACUUCACGCGGAUACAAAUUAUGAGAUUUUACCGUCCUUUAUUAUUGAAUGUAACACAAACGAUCCAACGAUGGUGAUGAGCUCCGAUGUCUUUCACUUAUCAAUGGCUUUAUUAUCCUGGAUAAACUGCAAUUAACGGAACACUGAAAAACUCACGAUGCGUUAGUUGAAAGCAUAAACGCCAUUUUAGGAAAAA